AUGCCAAGCAUGUCACCCAUACGCCAGGCUGAGAUCGCAGGCCAAGCCCAGCCAGCAGGACGCCGCUGCUCCGUCAGACUGUCCCAGAGAGGAAGACGUUAUGGCUCACAGAGGAACUGGCAGCGCACAGCCGAGUGGAAAACUCCUGAGAUCAUCCCUUCUGAAACGACUAUGAAAGUUUUUGGACAUAAGGGAGCACGUGUCUUCACGCUAAGCGUGUCUGUCGGUCAACGGAAUCCACUUGGACAGGUGAUGGGGGUGAGUAAUCCAUUAGAAGGAUACAGAAUCCCUUCCUCAGCAGUGCACAGUUUGAGUGCACUCAGCAAGACCUUGACAGGCCCCAGAGCCAGGGCCUGUCAAGCCAGGACACAGAGUGAUGGAGAGCCCCCACCAUGGUGCACUGGACCCUGGCUCUCAACCGCGCACCGCCACUGA
rnacentral:lncRNA from 1 species